rnacentral:rRNA from 1 species
GAUAAACGCUGGCGGCGUGCUUAACACAUGCAAGUCGAACGAAGUUUUUCUUUCGGGAGGAACUUAGUGGCGGACGGGUGAGUAACGCGUGGGUAACCUGCCCUGUACAGGGGGACAACAGCUGGAAACGGCUGCUAAUACCGCAUAAGCCCUUAGCACUGCAUGGUGCAUAGGGAAAAGGAGCAAUCCGGUACAGGAUGGACCCGCGUCUGAUUAGCCAGUUGGCAGGGUAACGGCCUACCAAAGCGACGAUCAGUAGCCGAUCUGAGAGGAUGUACGGCCACAUUGGGACUGAGACACGGCCCAGACUCCUACGGGAGGCAGCAGUGGGGAAUAUUGCACAAUGGAGGAAACUCUGAUGCAGCGACGCCGCGUGAGUGAAGAAGUAUUUCGGUAUGUAAAGCUCUAUCAGCAGGAAAGAAAAUGACGGUACCUGACUAAGAAGCGCCGGCUAAAUACGUG